rnacentral:lncRNA from 1 species
AUUCCAUAUAUCAAUUCAUCAAAUGCUAAAGGCGAUGACAAGUUCACUGAGGCACUACUAGUCAGAAGAAGUGUGAAACAAACACAAAACAAAAAAAAUUGCAGAUUGAUCCCAGUGGGAAAAAAAGGAAAAUCUCAUUUAGCCGUUAGCAAAACAAAAAUAUUAGCUCAGUCUAUAAACCUUACUCAAUUUUCGAUAGAAAGAAACAAACAAAACAAAUUUGAUGUUCAAAAUAGCUAGAUUUCCAUCAGAUUUGUCAUGUCCAUAGAAUUAGCACUCAAACAUUCUCCACAACCUAGCGGAGGACACUAGAAAAUUGGCAGACGCAUCCUAACAAGAGCAGAACAGCGAUAGAAAAUCAAAUGACGGAAGAUUAACAGAAGAACCAGUGAAUCAACAGGACAAGAACAAGAAAAAUAACAACGGCAACAGUACUACAACAGUUUUACGAACCAAGACGAGGUGAACAAACCACACGAAUGUAAAGCUAAACCAAACAUGACGAGAAUGAACCAAACCUUAAUAAGUUAUUGCUGAAAUUUAAGUCAAUUCUACUUGGAUAGCUGAAGUUUAUACCAGCUACUACUUUAGAACAAGCAUUGAAUCGCUUAUCUUCGAGCAUUCGUAUCAUGUCUUGGUAAAUACCAUUGACUGGGCAACACAACAACAACAAAAGAUAACUGGUAUAAGUUUCAUAAGCUCGUAUUGCAGUCGAGACAGGUAAGAAACUCUGUGAAUCAAUGAAUCGACAAACAACAACUACGUCUCAUCUAUCAACCAUAGAGCGGACCAGAUGUUCAGCCAUUCAUGUAAAAAUUUAGCAAGUACAAACUUUUAAAACAUAUUUCAACACAUAAAGAAAUCAAACACCUUAAUAUAUAAAAAAACGAAAAUCCAGAAACUGAUAAUGUAACUUAAAAUUUCAUAUCUUAAGCUCCAGCCAUACUUUGAUCAUACAUACAUAAAAUAGAGCAAGAUAAGAUGUAAAACUGAACGAGAUUUUUCGAUUAAUUUUCCUAAAGGCGAUUACAAGAUAGCACGGUGACAAACUUGUCCGCAAAACUAUAAAUCACAAAUUGCUUAAGGGGCCAUGAAAAGGCUAAGAGAAUGGGGAUAGAGCUCGGCACAAGCAACAAUCAGCAGUAAUAAAAACAUAUAUCCGUCACAAACUUCAGAAUCCCAGAGAAACGAGAAGACGAGGCAGUAGCAACUUCAAAUAGUCCUGCUCUUGAUUUUUUGUAUGACGUUUUUAUAUUCAAAGAUGCAGGAAUCUAUGUAUUUCUUCUUCCAAAUUCAAAACAAUCUCAACAGCUUCACCAAACUCUAAAAUUCCCAAAAGAGAAAAGUACAACAAAUUGAGAUUGAACUGACCUUGCAACCUUGAAGUUCGGAUCUAGUCUCUCUAAUUUCACGCUCUUACUAGAGGCCUAAGUGUGUGUGAAAGGGAGGAACGUGUAUGAGUGAGAUGGAUCAAUGUGGGUGUGUGAUUUUUGUCAAGAAGAAGAAGCUAGCGUCGUUUCUCUUUGGAAGGGAAGGGGUCUGGGAAAUCUGAUAUGGUCUUGGUAGCGUGAGAGGGGUAAAGCGGGUCGGGUCGGAUCGGGU